CGUAAUGCUUGGAUCUCAUUGAAUGCAGUGGUUAUGUUUGUCAUGAUCAUUUUUCAGCAACUGCUAUGACUGUAAAAUCUAAUAUUGCCCAAAUUUCAUGUCUAGUUGCCGAAAGUACUCACUACUCACAACCAGUUCUGACUUGAACCUUGAACGGAAUGAAAGGAGCUGCAGUGAAGAGUUCUCUGGAGAAAAGGUCGGAUUACCUCCCAAGGAGUCAUUACUAGCGAAGGCCUUUGAAUGCGUCAUUAAAUUGUCACUGCAGACCCUGACCUGCCAAAUUUGGCAGAUAUACCGUGGACAGGAAGAAGAAACACAUUCCCCUCUUUGCUGAUGCAUGCAGGAUAAAGGAGAACACGUUGUCCGUGUCCUGCUUUGCUCGACUUACACGUCACAUGGAAUCAAUACACAUGACGAUGAGCCAGACAGCCAGCCAGACAGCUCCCUGCCCUGGAUUUUUACAUGCAGACAAAUGAAUGGAAAAAAAAGAAAAACAGUGAGAUGGGGUUGCUAGGAGACCCGGCCCGAUGCAAACACUGCACCAUCUGCUGCAGAGAGAUUUGCGGCGGUUAAGCCAAGUCGGACGGAGCAGGACGGAGAGCCCCGGAGAAUCGUUGAAAACAACACCAAAAGGAAGACAGUUCUUGGACAUGCA